AAACAUUCUGAUGUGGUGAUCCACACAUUCAGACAAUCAUAUUUUAGAAGUCAGCCUGGCUUAGGGGCAGGGGGCAUGGGAAAGAGUUUCUGGGGAGACCUUUCACCUUGAGGACCUGGGAAUGGUACAGGCUAGCAGGUGUGAAUGAAGACUCCCUUGGAUUAAUUACAAGUGAGGAAGCAGACUCAAGAAGAUUAAUAACUUGCCCAAAGUUGCAGCGGUGGAGAGGCAGCCUAGAGAUCCAGCUGCCAAUCUGCCAGAUCCCAAAGCUCCUCUCCUGCUUGACCUCCAUGUCCACGUGCUGGGACAGUGGGCAGGGAAGGCUGUGUCAGUUUCUGGAUCAGAUCUUGGAGUUUCUAAUUAAUCUAACCAUGAAUCACUAUCUGCCAUGAACUUCAUUGUGUUCUACUUUGAAGAAAGAGACUGACGAUUUCUUGUAAGUGCCAUUAUGCAUUGUCUCCAGGAAAAAGAGGCCUGCAUAGAUGUGUAAGAAGAGAAAAGUCACCAAAGGGUAAGACGUUUGAGAUUGCACUGGGAAACUAAAACACAAACCUUAUACAUGAUUGCCAUAUAAAUCAUCUGACUU
rnacentral:lncRNA from 1 species